CCCCUCCCACCACCGCUGGGGCCUCGCCCCCUCCGAUUGCUACCGGCCAAUAGCCAGCCAGCUGGGCGUCGGUAGAGCCACCGUCGGGUGGCUCGCGUCGCCAAACCUCCAGGAUUGUCUCCCUGGGAGUCUCCAGGGAAGUAAAAGCUCCUCUUGAAUGGAAGAUUCUCUCGCGUGAUGAAACCUCCAGGAAUACGUCCAACCCAAACCGGCAGCCCUAGCCGUGCCGAUGAGGUUGCGCGUGGGUUUGCCCCGUUGAGGUUCUCCAGUUGUUUGAGGGCCAUUGCUGGGACCCUAACCCUAACCCUAACCCCAUCAGCAGAGAGUCCUUAGCCCUGCAAGCUCUGGGGUCAUAGGGUCCCAGAUUUCCAGGCCAGCAGGAACCGUUGUGGUCACCUGGUCUGACGCCAGCCAGAGAACUUCCCCCAAACAAGGCCUAGGGCAGAUCUUUUAGACAACCCCCCAAUCUAGGUUAAAAUCGUCAGUGAUGGAAGAUCCACCACGGCCCUUGGUUAAUUGCGCCGAUGGUCAAUUCCCCUCACGGUCAAAAAAUGUACACCGUCUUCCCAGUGUGAAUUGGUCCAGCUUCAGUUUCCAGCCAUGGGCUCACAUCAGACCUUUCUCUCCAAGGUUGGAGAUCCCAUUAUCAAAUAUUUGUUCCCCACAUGGGUCCUUCUAGACUAGGAUCAAGCCACCCCGGGAGCGUCUCUUUGCUAAGCUAAAUAGAUUGAGCUCCUGGAGGCAAGUUGUCUCCGCCUUCGGUCACUCGCCUGGGUCUUCUCUGGCCGCUCUUCUCAGUCACUCGCCUGGUUCUUCUCUGGCCGAGCCAACUGAGAUUCUCUUUCUGUAUCUGCCCCUACAAUAAACACGCCCGCAUUGCA